GUGGUGGUUUUGUUCUUCCACUCAGAUUUUUAAAUAUGUGGUGGUAUGUUCUUCCACUCAGAUCUAGAGAUUUGUGGUGGUUUGUUAUUGUUUCUCUAACCAAAUUUACAAAUCUGGGGUUGUUCAUUUUAUUUUGCUUGGUUUUGUGUUUUAUGAUGCGGAUUUUUGACAAGAAAAGUUUCUACUUUAUGGAAAGUGUUGCAAAGGCAGAAUUGAUGGAUGCCUUUAAGAGACUUAAGAAAUCUGGACAAAAGUUUUGUAGAGAAGAAGCUAUCUAAGAUGCAUCAAAAGUAGAGUCCCCUCCCUGCUCAUGUUGUCAAGGCUCAGGUAGAUGCAGCCUUUAGAUGUAAUGAGAAUAUAGCAGAUUUGGGAGUUGUAGUUAGGGACUCAGAUAAUAAAAUCAUAGAUGCAGCAAUUCAACAAACUCAAGUUGAUGGAGAUGUUAAAUAUU
rnacentral:lncRNA from 1 species